ACUAAAUUGCCGUUAAGCCCACCUGAGUAGUACCAGUGUAUACUCUAAACUCAAAGAAUUUGGCGGCUCUUCACCCCAUUAGAGGAACCUGUCCCCGUAAUCGAUGUUCCACGAAACAUUCUACCUAAUUUUAAAGUUUGUAUACCGCCGUUUAGAGUGGGUCUAAAGACCUACUCCUAACUAAAUUAUUAAGUAAUUCAGGUCAAGGUGCAGCCUAUGAUUAGGAGGAGGUGGGUUACAGUUAGUAAUAUUCGGAACUACCACUGCAAUUGGUAGCGAAGCUGGAUUUAAAAGUAAAUCAUAGCCAGGUUGGCAGGGCCCUGAAGU
rnacentral:rRNA from 1 species